rnacentral:rRNA from 1 species
GAUGAAUGCUAGCGGCAGGCCUAAUACAUGCAAGACGAACGGUAAGAUUUUGAACAAUAGAGAUCCUAGAGUGUCGUAAGGGUGCGUAACACGUACGCAAUAUGCCCUCAACGGGAGAAUAGCUCCCCGAAAGGGGAAUUAACACUCCGUAAGAUUGUGGUUCGGCAUCGGACAGCAAUUAAAACUGAGGUGGUUGAGGAUGAGCAUGCGCAUGAUUAGUUAGUUCGCGGGGUAACGGCCCACCAAGACGAUGAUCAUUAGGGGAACUGAGAGGUUGAUCCCCCACACUGGCACUGAGAUACGGGCCAGACUCCUACGGGAGGCAGCAGUAGGGAAUAUUGGACAAUGGGUGCGAGCCUGAUCCAGCCAUGCAGCGUGCAGGAAGACGGCCUUCUGGGUUGUAAACUGCUUUUGCCAGGGGAUAAAACGGCUCUGCGGAGCUAAUUGAAGGUACCUGGUGAAUAAGCCACGGCUAACUACGUGCCAGCCGCCGCAGUAAGAC